AUGAUUUUAACAAUUUAGAAUCUUCACUACCCAAGGAUGCUUCCGCAUAAUUUCAGCUUUUCUGGCCCAGUGGUUCUUGAGAAGAAGAUUUUUAAAGAUUUUUCCUAUAUAUUUCAAUGUAAAAUUUGGAUUCCCUAUUGUGGCCCCGCCCUACCCCCGGGGGUCAUGAUUUUAACAAUUUAGAAUCUACACUAUACCAGGAUGCUUCCACAUAAGUUUCAGCUUUUCUGGCCCAGUGGUUCUUGAGAAGAAGAUUUUUAAAGAUUUUUCCUAUAUAUUU